rnacentral:rRNA from 1 species
GACAGAGGGGGCAAGCGUUGCUCGGAAUCACUGGGCGUAAAGGGCGCGUAGGCGGGAUGGCAAGUCGGUCGUGAAAUCCUUCGGCUCAACCGAAGAACGUCGGCCGAUACUGCCGUUCUUGAGGGAUGCAGAGGAGAUUGGAAUUCCCGGUGUAGCGGUGAAAUGUGUAGAGAUCGGGAGGAACACCGGUGGCGAAGGCGGGUCUCUGGGCAUUAACUGACGCUGAGGAGCGAAAGCAUGGGGAGCGAACAGG